rnacentral:rRNA from 1 species
CGAACCCGGAAGCUAAGCCCUCCAGCGCCGAUGGUACUGCACCCGACAGGGUGUGGGAGAGUAGGACACCGCCGAAC